rnacentral:rRNA from 1 species
UAGGAAUAUGCCUUGAAGUGGGGGAUAACUUGGGGAAACCCAAGCUAAUACCGCAUAGGUUCUAAGGAACAAAGCUGGGGACCUUCGGGCCUGGCGCUUUAAGAUUAGCCUGCGUCCGAUUAGCUAGUUGGUAGGGUAAGGGCCUACCAAGGCGACGAUCGGUAGCUGGUCUGAGAGGAUGAUCAGCCACAUUGGGACUGAGACACGGCCCAAACUCCUACGGGAGCAG